AGAAAGUAAGCAAGGGCAGACGGUGGAUGCCUUGGCUCUCGGAGGCGAGGAAGGACGUGAUAAGCUGCGAAAAGCGCGGGGGAGGCGCAAAUAGCCCUUGAUCCCGGGAUAUCCGAAUGGGGCAACCCGGCAGGCUGAAGGCCUGCCAUCCCGUAAGGGAGGCGAACGUGGGGAACUGAAACAUCUAAGUACCCAUAGGAGGAGAAAAUAAACAAUGAUUCCGUAAGUAGUGGCGAGCGAACACGGAAGAGCCCAAACCCGUGCCGUCUAGGCGACACGGGGGUUGUAGGACCACGACGUGGCAAGAUAGAGUCAAGUGGAACGCCUUGGAAAAGGCGACCGUAGAGGGUGAUAGUCCCGUACACGACUGACGAUUGAAGCCUAGUGGCAUCCUGAGUAGCGCGGGGCACGAGAAAUCUUGCGUGAAACUGCGGGGCCCAUCCCGUAAGGCUAAAUACUCCCGAGAGACCGAUAGCGAACCAGUACCGUGAGGGAAAGGUGAAAAGAACCCCGAGCAGGGGAGUGAAAUAGACCCUGAACCCGUCUGCCUACAAGCGGUCGGAGCAUCGUCAAGAUGUGACGGCGUGCCUUUUGCAUAAUGAACCUACGAGUUACCUUCCCCGGCAAGGUUAAGUACCUAAGGUACGGAGCCGAAGCGAAAGCGAGUCUGAAUAGGGCGGCCAGUCGGGGGGGGUAGACGCGAAACCGAGUGAUCUACCCUUGGCCAGGUUGAAGGUUGGGUAACACCAACUGGAGGACCGGAUGGGUAAGCGUUGAAAAGCUUUCCAAUGAGCUGAGGGUAGGGGUGAAAGGCUAAUCAAACUCGGAGAUAGCUCGUACUCCCCGAAAUGCAUUUAGGUGCAGCCUCUUUAUAGUAUAUCGUGAGGUAGAGCGACUGAUUGGAUGCGAGGGCUUCACCGCCUAUCAAGUCCAGAUAAACUCCGAAUGCGCGAUAUAUAUUUAAAGGGAGUGAGGGCGCGGGUGCUAAGGUCCGUGUCCGAGAGGAGAAGAAUCCAGACCACCGGCUAAGGCCCCCAAAUGAUCGUUGAGUUGAACUAACGAGGUCGGAUCGCAGAGACAGCUAGGAUGUUGGCUUGGAAGCAGCCAUUCAUUUAAAGAGUGCGUAACAGCUCACUAGUCGAGCGAUCUGGCGUGGAUAAUAAUCGGGCAUAAACGAUCUGCCGAAGCCGUGGAUGUCGUAAGACAUGGUAGGGGAGCAUUCCAUGGGCGUCGAAGAUGAGGGAUGACCCUUGUUGGAGCGCAUGGAAAAGCAAAUGUAGGUAUGAGUAACGAUAAGGGGGGCGAGAAACCCCCCCGCCGAAAGACCAAGGUUUCCUGAUCAACGCUAAUCGGAUCAGGGUGAGUCGGGACCUAAGGCAAAGCCGAACGGCGACGCCGAUGGAAGAAUGGGUUAAUAUUCCCAUACUGCCUCAUGGAGUGACGUGGAGACGGAGAAGUGACAGUCCUGCCGGCUGACGGAAUAGCCGGUUGAAGGGUGUAGAUAUUGAUUCCCGUAGGCAAAUCCGCGGGGAGAGUCGAACCUGAGAGUAUACGGAGCGCUUGCGCAACGUAAUAUGGACGUAACCAUGCUCCCGAGAAAAUCCGCUAAACUUAUCCAUGCGGCACCCGUACCGUAAACGGACACACGUGGUCGGGUUGAGAAUACUGAGGCGCUCGAGUGACUCACGGUUAAGGAACUAGGCAAAUUGACCCUGUAACUUCGGGAUAAAGGGUCCUCGUCGUAAGGCGAGGCGCAGAGAAUAGGUCCAGGCAACUGUUUAACAAAAACACAUGGCUGUGCUAAAUGGAAACAUGACGUAUACAGCCUGACACCUGCCCGGUGCUGGAAGGUUAAGAGGAGAUGUCAUCGCAAGAGAAGCGUUGAAUUGAAGCCCCAGUAAACGGCGGCCGUAACUAUAACGGUCCUAAGGUAGCGAAAUUCCUUGUCGGGUAAGUUCCGACCUGCACGAAUGGUGUAAUGAUCUGGACACUGUCUCAACCGUGAGCUCGGUGAAAUUGUAGUAUCGGUGAAGAUGCCGAUUACCCGCGAUGGGACGAAAAGACCCCGUGAACCUUUACUAUAGCUUUACAUUGAAUUUGGGCAGACGAUGUGUAGGAUAGGCCGGAGGCUUUGAAGGGGGUACGCCAGUAUCCUUGGAGCCGCCGUUGAAAUACGGCCCUUCGGUUGUUUGAGUUCUAACUCCUAGGCAGGAGGACACUGUAUGGUGGGUAGUUUGACUGGGGUGGUCGCCUCCAAAAGCGUAACGGAGGCUUCUAAAGGUGCCCUCAGACCGAUUGGUAACCGGUCGCAGAGUGUAAUGGCAUAAGGGCGCUUGACUGGGAGAGAUACAACUCGAUCAGGUAGGAAACUAGAGCAUAGUGAUCCGGUGGUUCCGCAUGGAAGGGCCAUCGCUCAAAGGAUAAAAGGUACUCCGGGGAUAACAGGCUGAUCAUUCCCAAGAGCUCAUAUCGACGGAAUGGUUUGGCACCUCGAUGUCGGCUCGUCACAUCCUGGGGCUGGAGAAGGUCCCAAGGGUUGGGCUGUUCGCCCAUUAAAGUGGCACGCGAGCUGGGUUCAGAACGUCGUGAGACAGUUCGGUCUCUAUCUAUCGUGGGCGCAGGAGAUUUGAGGGGCUCUGACACUAGUACGAGAGGACCGUGUUGGACGUACCACUGGUUUACCGGUUGUCCCGCCAGGGGCACCGCCGGGUAUCUAAGUACGGAUCGGAUAAGUGCUGAAAGCAUCUAAGUACGAAGCCGUCCUCAAGAUUAGAUCUCCCUCAAGGGUGGUUAUAGACGAUGACCUUGAUAGGCCACAGGUGUAAGGGCGGCGACGUCCGAGCCGAGUGGUACUAAUAGCCCGGGACUUUCCUCA
rnacentral:rRNA from 1 species